UCCGGAAUUACUGGGUGUAAAGGGAGCGCAGGCGGGAAGACAAGUUGGAAGUGAAAUCUAUGGGCUCAACCCAUAAACUGCUUUCAAAACUGUUUUUCUUGAGUAGUGCAGAGGUAGGCGGAAUUCCCGGUGUAGCGGUGGAAUGCGUAGAUAUCGGGAGGAACACCAGUGGCGAAGGCGGCCUACUGGGCACCAACUGACGCUGAGGCUCGAAAGUGUGGGUAGCAAACAGGAUUAGAUACCCUGGUAGUCCACACCGUAAACGAUGAUUACUAGGUGUUGGAGGAUUGACCCCUUCAGUGCCGCAGUUAACACAAUAAGUAAUCCACCUGGGGAGUACGACCGCAAGGUUGAAACUCAAAGGAAUUGACGGGGGCCCGCACAAGCAGUGGAGUAUGUGGUUUAAUUCGACGCAACGCGAAGAACCUUACCAAGUCUUGACAUCCUGCGACGUGCAUAGAAAUAUGUAUUUCCUUCGGGACGCAGAGACAGGUGGUGCAUGGUUGUCGUCAGCUCGUGUCGUGAGAUGUUGGGUUAAGUCCCGCAACGAGCGCAACCCUUACUGUCAGUUACUACGCAAGAGGACUCUGGCAGGACUGCCGUUGACAAAACGGAGGAAGGUGGGGAUGACGUCAAAUCAUCAUGCCCUUUAUGACUUGGGCUACACACGUACUACAAUGGCGUUAAACAAAGAGAAGCAAGACCGCGAGGUGGAGCAAAACUCAGAAACAACGUCCCAGUUCGGACUGCAGGCUGCAACUCGCCUGCACGAAGUCGGAAUUGCUAGUAAUCGUGGAUCAGCAUGCCACGGUGAAUACGUUCCCGGGCCUUGUACACACCGCCCGUCAACAGCCAUGAGAGCCGGGGGGACCCGAAGUUCGGUAGUCUAACCGCAAGGAGGACGCCGCCGAAGGU
rnacentral:rRNA from 1 species